AUUGAACGCUGGCGGCAGGCCUAACACAUGCAAGUCGAACGGUAACAGGAAGACGCUUGCUUCUUUGCUGACGAGUGGCGGACGGGUGAGUAAUGUCUGGGAAACUGCCUGAUGGAGGGGGAUAACUACUGGAAACGGUAGCUAAUACCGCAUAACGUCGCAAGACCAAAAAGGGGGACCUUCGGGCCUCUUGCCAUCGGAUGUGCCCAGAUGGGAUUAGCUAGUAGGUGGGGUAACGGCUCACCUAGGCGACGAUCCCUAGCUGGUCUGAGAGGAUGACCAGCCACACUGGAACUGAGACACGGUCCAGACUCCUACGGGAGGCAGCAGUGGGGAAUAUUGCACAAUGGGCGCAAGCCUGAUGCAGCCAUGCCGCGUGUAUGAAGAAGGCCUUCGGGUUGUAAAGUACUUUCAGCGGGGAGGAAGGGAGUAAAGUUAAUACCUUUGCUCAUUGACGUUGCCCGCAGAAGAAGCACCGGCUAACUCCGUG
rnacentral:rRNA from 1 species